rnacentral:rRNA from 1 species
UACGAAGGGGGCAAGCGUUGUUCGGAAUUACUGGGCGUAAAGGGCGCGUAGGCGGCUUAUCAAGUCAGGCGUGAAAUUCCCGGGCUCAACCUGGGGGCUGCGCUUGAUACUGAUGAGCUUGAAUGCGGGAGAGGAUAGUGGAAUUCCCAGUGUAGAGGUGAAAUUCGUAGAUAUUGGGAAGAACACCGGUGGCGAAGGCGAACAUCCUGGACCGGUAUUGACGCUGAGGCGCGACAGCGUGGGGAGCAAACAGG